AUAAUUUUCAAGGUUAAACGAGUUUUGGAAUAGGUAAAUCUCUUAUUUUGUUGAUUUUUGUGUGGUAUAGUGAACCAUUUUUUUUUGUGAUUCAAAAUUUCGAUGUUAUUUUAGUCAAAAAUUUUCAUGGACAUCUGUUAAGACGUUAACUAUGGAUCCAGGUGUCCCUGACAGUCAAAACGAUCCAUUUGCAAGGUCAAAUGAGCUCCAAAGCAGACUUAAGAUAUGGAGCUAGUUGGCCCAGAACGACCAAAAGGGUCCAUUUUCAAGGUCAAACAAGCCUUGGAGCAGGAAAUCUCCCAUUUUGUCGAUUUUUGUGGACUAUAGUUCACCAUCUUUUUUGGUAAUUUGGAAUUUGAACAUUAUUUUUGUCAAAUUUUUUUGUGGACGUUCAUUAUGACGUUAACUAUGAAGCCAAUUGGCCCUGAAGGCCAAAACAGUAUAUUUUCAAGGUCAAACGAGCCCUGGAGCAGACGUUAGCUGUGGAGCAGUUCGCCCUGACGACCAAAAUAGUCCAUUUAAAAGGUCAAAUUAAAGGAGCCCCGGAGCAGGUAAACCCUCUCCCUCAUUAUGUCGAUUUUCGUGUUGGUUCCCUCUGUAGGAAAUUGGUGGAGCAAUACAUAUAGUCUCACUAUUUUUAGAGUGAUAUGACGGAGAAAUAACUCCUAAUAGCCCAAAAUAUGAAGCUUCACGUAUUGUUCUCGCAACUCCAUAUAGAGGAUCUUGUAAUCAAUUUUCAAUAGUAAAAGUCCAUCAGUCACAUCACCAAAAUAUUUAUGAGCUAACUGUGCCAACAAACCCAAUAGCAUAGACGGAAUUCGGAAAGACAAUUAAAUUUAUAAAAUAUAUAUGUCAUUAAACAUUAUAAUUUAUAAAACUUUUCGCAUCAUUUUUCUUUAUCUCAAUUUACGUGGUACCAAAAAUUUCCGAAAGUAUUUAUAACUAUUGAAUUUCCAGAUUCAGGCAUUGUGUUGCUGUAUGUGGAAAGCUCUAAUUUAUGUUGGGAUAUUUUCUUCCUGUGGUGCUCGCUGCAGCGUACAAUGAAUGAUGAGCUAUAUUUGCAUCCAUCUUUUUUUUUUUUAAUUCUAUUUUUUGUUUAU